GGGAGGUAGUGACAAUAAAUCACAAUGCGGAACUAUUAGUUUUGCAAUUGGAUUGAGAACAAUGUACAAAUGUUAUCGAUAAACAAUUGGAGGGCAAGUCUGGUGCCAGCAGCCGCGGUAAUUCCAGCUCCAAUAGCGUAUAUUAACGUUGUUGCAGUUAAAAAGCUCGUAGUUGAAUUGAAGUGAACUUGGGUUUGUAUGAUCUUCGGAUGAUAUGAAUCAGAGUUGACUCUUUCCAAAGUCAAUACAUUGGUAUUCAUUUAUCUUUGUAUUGUGUUUGGUCAUUUACUGUGAGAAAAUUAGAGUGUUCAAAGCAGACGUUUGUUUGAAUACAUUAGCAUGGAAUAAUCAUAUAUGGCUUUCAUGUUGAUUUGAUUGGUUUGAAUAUGGAAGCAAGAUUAAAAGGGACAGUUGGGGGUAUUCAUAUUCAAUAGUCAGAGGUGAAAUUCUGGGAUUUAUGGAAGAUGAACAAGUGCGAAAG
rnacentral:rRNA from 1 species